UACGUAGGGGGCAAGCGUUGUCCGGAAUCAUUGGGCGUAAAGCGCGUGUAGGCGGCUCGAUAAGUCUGCUGUGAAAGUUCAGGGCUCAACCCUGAAAUGCCGGUGGAAACUGUCGAGCUAGAGUCCGGAAGAGGCGAGUGGAAUUCCUGGUGUAGCGGUGAAAUGCGCAGAUAUCAGGAGGAACACCAAUGGCGAAGGCGGCUCGCUGGGACGGUACUGACGCUGAGACGCGAAAGCGUGGGAGCAAACAGG
rnacentral:rRNA from 1 species